GGACAGUUGGCCGAGCGGCUUAAGGCACCAUCUUGGAAAGGUGGCGAAGUGAAAGCUUCCGUGAGUUCAAAUCUCACACUGUCCGCCA
rnacentral:tRNA from 1 species